UUUUCAAAUUACAACAAUUAUUACCAAUAUUAUGGAGACUGAAAGUGUAAAUUUACGAAGUGGUAAGAAAAAAAGAAAUGAACAGACUAAACAAAGAAUAAGUGGUAAAUCGUAUGUGACGAGGAGAAGUCAUAUAAUUCAGGCAAUCCCGAAACCAUUAAUCGAGGAUGCUUCCAAUCACCUUUGAAUCUGUAUUGACCCUAAUUUCUCCAAAGUUAAAUAGAAAAAAGCCGGGUUACAAAUUUAUUUCAUCUAACAAACAGUUUUUAAUUGCAAUUUGGAAAAUGGCUAUUCCUGACUCUUAUAGAUUGAUUUGUGAAAAAUUUGAUGUGGGACGAGCAUCUGCAUUAUGAUGUAUAUGAAGAUUUGUGGUUGCUUUGGAAAUUUUAGCUCCAGCUUUCAUCACUUGGUCAGAUGAGGAAAAAACCAAGGAAAUGUCAAAUGGAUUUUUUUCAAUCAAUACCUUUCCAGAUAUUUUUGGAGUGAUUGAUGGGAUAUAUUAACAUUCCUGUGCCACAUGACCACCAAGAAGCUUAUGUUAAUUAAAAAGGUCAUAAUUCAAUUCAAUCAAUUCAAUUAAUUCAAACAAGUUUUAUGCGACCAUCAAUGCCGUUUUAUUCAUUGUUAUGCUGGAAAUGUUGGAUCAGUGCAUAACCAACGGGUAUUCAGAUUAUAUGAACUAAAAAAAUACCUUAAUAAUGCAACUAAAUUUACCAAAAACUCACGUUUGGUUGGUGAUGCUGUUUAUACAUUACACGAACAUCUCAUAAUAUGAUACUGUGACAAUGGGCAUUCAUAACGAUUUAAAAACGAUUACUUAUUAUGAAGGCCAAUAAGUUUUAUGUUGAUAUUAAACAAAAAGCAUAAGAAGCAAUAAUUAAUACAAAUAAAUUGAAUGUAUUGGCUUUUGACUACCAACAGAAUAUACCACAUAUCCCAUGUUAUAUUUUUUUCUAUACAAUGAAGCGACAGGACGAAAAGGCUAAAAUUAAGUCUUAAGUUUUCUUCACCACUAUUUUUCUGAAAUAAUGGAGAGCUAAGUUGAAACUGAAUUUAUUUUUACAGACAACUGCAGUGCUCAGAAUAAAAACAAUGCCCUUGUACAAUAUUUAUACACAUUAGCAAUGGAAAACUUAUUUGGGUUGAAAAAUUGUUCACUGUUAUCUUGAACCUGGUCACAGUUUCCUUCCCUGUGACUGGGCAUUUGGGUUAAUAGAAAAAAAAGAAGAAAGCUAGAAUGUGUGUUUUUACCUUAAGAGUAUAAAAAAAUAUAGUAGUACCUCCACUGGGAAGCUUCUACACUCUGUCAUUUAACACUGUCACUUUUAUUUUUAAUUAUUUUUAUUAUUUUUAUUUA